rnacentral:rRNA from 1 species
AUGUUUAGGAAGAUGUUCCAAGGUGGUUCCUCUAAGAAGCAAGGACCUAGGAUUUCUAUGCGCGAUGCUGAUGAGGAUCCACCAAGAGAUGCUCUAGUACGGCCUUGGGAAUGGCCGUCAGAAAAUUUUAUGGACCGUGCGGGAAUUAAAGAAGAAUUCAAAUCAUAUUUGCGCAAUGCCGGUCUUGAGGAUUUUGAGGCUAACAAAUGCCCCCAGUAUCAUGAUCUCACAAGUUCAUUUGUGAGGAGGUUUGAGUAUUCAUCUUCGCGUAAUUCUCCUUUAGUCAUGUUUGAUCUUUAUGACAAAUCUUAUACCAUGGACCUAGAGGAUUCCACUUCUGCUUGUGAACUUCCAUCAUGGGGCAGUAUUAGGGAUCCACCUAAAUCAGAAUUUAGAAACUUUCUUGCUAGUAUAACUGUGGGGGAAUCCAGAGAUAUAACGCAGGCUACCAUAGGGAGCAUUCACUUUCCUGCUAUACAUUAUUUUCCUCUUUUCAUCGAUAGAUGCAUAAAUGCUAAGGAUAAAGCAUGUCACAUGUGUGUCCCGGAUCUCAGCAUUCUUAGGAGUGUUGUGUUAGGAGACCAAUCUUAUCAUAUGGGAGCCAUUAUAGCUCGUAGGUUGCAUCAUAAUAGACAUAAUGGAGAUUUCUUUGGAGGAAUUUAUGCAACCCGCUUAGCUCAUUUUCUUGAAAUAAACAUUCGUGAGGGUGAUAUGGAGUUUCCUCCUGCAUAUUUAGAUUAUAAGUCUAUGGUUUCGCACCAGUUUGUCGAGAGGCCUGAAUCACCUCUCUUAUAUCGCUUAAUUUUUGAUAAACGACGUGUUUUCCGUAUUACUCUCCCUGCUCCUGCCUUCUUUGAUUCACAGACAAAAGGAAGAUAUGUUAUUACCAGAGAGGAGGCAGAAGAGUACGAGAGGAGAGCGGAGGCAGCCCGACUCCAUGCUGCAGCUCAACAGGCGAUAACCGCUGCACAUCAGUAUGAUCCCAACUAUCCUUCCUCAUCACAGUACGAGCCCAACAACUAUUAUUAUGGAUAUCCGCCAGGCCAGCCGUGGCCAUAG